UACAGAGGUCUCAAGCGUUGUUCGGAUUCAUUGGGCGUAAAGGGUGCGUAGGUGGCGUCGUAAGUCAGGUGUGAAAUUUCGGAGCUUAACUUCGAAACUGCAUUUGAUACUGCGGUGCUUGAGGACUGGAGAGGAGACUGGAAUUUACGGUGUAGCAGUGAAAUGCGUAGAGAUCGUAAGGAAGACCAGUGGCGAAGGCGGGUCUCUGGACAGUUCCUGACACUGAGGCACGAAGGCCAGGGGAGCAAACGGG
rnacentral:rRNA from 1 species